UCCAGACUCCUACGGGAGGCAGCAGUGGGGGAUAUUGCACAAUGGGGGGAACCCUGAUGCAGCGACGCCGCGUGGGUGAAGGAGCGUUUCGGCGCGUAAAGCCCUAUCGGCAGGGAAGAAGGAGGACGGUACCUGACUAAGAAGCCCCGGCUAACUACGUGCCAGCAGCCGCGGUAAUACGUAGGGGGCAAGCGUUAUCCGGAUUUACUGGGUGUAAAGGGGGCGCAGACGGCAGCGCAAGCCAGGAGUGAAAGCCCGGGGCCCAACCCCGGGACUGCUCUUGGAACUGCGCGGCUGGAGUGCAGGAGGGGCAGGCGGAAUUCCUGGUGUAGCGGUGAAAUGCGUAGAUAUCAUGAGGAACACCGGUGGCGAAGGCGGCCUGCUGGACUGCGACUGACGUUGAGGCCCGAAAGCGUGGGGAGCAAACAGGAUUAGAUACCCGCGUA
rnacentral:rRNA from 1 species